GGACCUGACUGCUAUCGGAUUGAUACUAAGCCAUGCGAGUCAUUGUAGCAAUACAAGGCAGACGGCUCAGUAACGCGUAGUCAACCUACCCUAUGGACGGGAAUAACCUCGGGAAACUGAGUAUAAUGCCCGAUAGAACAUUAUACCUGGAAUGGUUUAUGUUCCAAAUGAUUUAUCGCCGUAGGAUGGGACUGCGGCCUAUCAGUUUGUUGGUGAGGUAAUGGCCCACCAAGACUAUUACAGGUACGGGCUCUGAGAGGAGUGGCCCGGAGAUGGGUACUGAGACACGGACCCAGGCCCUAUGGGGCGCAGCAGGCGAGAAAACUUUGCAAUGUGCGAAAGCACGACAAGGUUAAUCCGAGUGGUUUCUGCUGAAGGAACCUUUUGUCAGUCCUAGAAACACUGAUGAAUAAGGGGUGGGCAAGUUCUGGUGUCA
rnacentral:rRNA from 1 species